UGGGGAAUAUUGCACAAUGGGGGAAACCCUGAUGCAGCGACGCCGCGUGAACGAAGAAGGUAUUCGUAUCGUAAAGUUCUGUCCUAUGGGAAGAUAAUGACAGUACCAUAGAAGAAAGCUCCGGCUAAAUACGUGCCAGCAGCCGCGGUAAUACGUAUGGAGCGAGCGUUGUCCGGAAUUAUUGGGCGUAAAGGGUACGCAGGCGGUUUAAUAAGUCGAAUGUUAAAGAUCGGGGCUCAACCCCGCAAAGCAUUGGAAACUGAUAAACUUGAGUAGUGGAAAGGAAAGUGGAAUUCCUAGUGUAGUGGUGAAAUACGUAGAUAUUAGGAGGAAUACCAGUAGCGAAGGCGACUUUCUGGACACAAACUGACGCUGAGGUACGAAAGCGUGGGGAGCAAACAGG
rnacentral:rRNA from 1 species